AAAAAGAAUCGAUUAAAUCCAAAGGAGGUUGCACUUGCAUCGGAGGAGCCAUUUCCAGGUGAUGAUGAUCCACCCCCUGCAUCCAAAUAUAGUUGCUGAGAUGGGGAGUUUGGACAUUACAAGCCGUUGGGAGGGCUUGAGCUUGACUCUGGUCAACGGUUAAUCCUCCGCCGUUAAAUACUUGACAUAAGCACUGUGGUCGGGAGUGGGCCACGGUGUUCAGCUGCGUGCAGCAUGCCGCCGUCGGGGCAGCGGAGGAGUUGCCGUAGUUGAGGCACGGAGACAUGCUCACCACCACAUUCGUGCAAUCGUCGGAUUGCGCCGCCGCAAGGGCGACGAAUGCGACGACGAUAAUUGAAAUCAUUUGGAAUUGUAGCUUUGCCAUUUGGGGGAGAUGUGGCGUUUUUUAUUAGAAAUUUGAGUGUGUUGAUUUUGGGAUUUAUUCUAGUGGGCUUAGGAUUAUUAAGCCAAAAUGAAGACUUGGAGUUGGGAGUGGGGGUUGGUUUUGGGUUACCAAUUCUUUUCUUCCUACUCUUUGAAUUUUCUUUUCUAAUGUUUCGGAAUUUUGGAA